rnacentral:rRNA from 1 species
AUGAACGCUGGCGGCGUGCUUAACACAUGCAAGUCGAACGAGGAAUUUUGGAUGAGACUUCGGUGGAUUCCAGAAUACCGAGUGGCGGACGGGUGAGUAACGCGUGGGCAACCUGCCCUGUACAGGGGGACAACAGCUGGAAACGGCUGCUAAUACCGCAUAAGCGCACAGUAUUGCAUGAUACAGUGUGAAAAACUCCGGUGGUACAGGAUGGGCCCGCGUUGGAUUAGGUAGUUGGUGGGGUAACGGCCUACCAAGCCGACGAUCCAUAGCCGACCUGAGAGGGUGACCGGCCACAUUGGGACUGAGACACGGCCCAAACUCCUACGGGAGGCAGCAGUGGGGAAUAUUGCACAAUGGGGGAAACCCUGAUGCAGCGACGCCGCGUGAGCGAAGAAGUAUUUCGGUAUGUAAAGCUCUAUCAGCAGGGAAGAAAAUGACGGUACCUGACUAAGAAGCCCCGGCUAACUACGUGCCAGCAGCCGCGGUAAUACGUAGGGGGCAAGCGUUAUCCGGAUUUACUGGGUGUAAAGGGAGCGUAGACGGCAAGGCAAGUCUGAUGUGAAAGGCUGGGGCUCAACCCCGGGACUGCAUUGGAAACUGUCCUGCUGGAGUGCCGGAGAGGUAAGCGGAAUUCCUAGUGUAGCGGUGAAAUGCGUAGAUAUUAGGAGGAACACCAGUGGCGAAGGCGGCUUACUGGACGGUAACUGACGUUGAGGCUCGAAAGCGUGGGGAGCAAACAGGAUUAGAUACCCUGGUAGUCCACGCGGUAAACGAUGAAUACUAGGUGUUGGGUGUCGCAGACAUUCGGUGCCGCAGCAAACGCAAUAAGUAUUCCACCUGGGGAGUACGGCCGCAAGGUUGAAACUCAAAGGAAUUGACGGGGGCCCGCACAAGCAGUGGAUUAUGUGGUUUAAUUCGAAGCAACGCGAAGAACCUUACCAGGGCUUGACAUAUAGAUGAAUAACUAAGAGAUUAGUUAGUCCUUCGGGACAUCUAUACAGGUGGUGCAUGGUUGUCGUCAGCUCGUGUCGUGAGAUGUUGGGUUAAGUCCCGCAACGAGCGCAACCCUUAUCCCCAGUAGCCAGCAUGAAAGAUGGGCACUCUGAGGAGACUGCCAGGGAUAACCUGGAGGAAGGUGGGGAUGACGUCAAAUCAUCAUGCCCCUUAUGACUUGGGCUACACACGUGCUACAAUGGCGUAAACAAAGGGAAGCGAGGGAGCGAUCCGGAGCAAAUCCCAAAAAUAACGUCCCAGUUCGGAUUGUAGUCUGCAACUCGACUACAUGAAGCUGGAAUCGCUAGUAAUCGCGAAUCAGAAUGUCGCGGUGAAUACGUUCCCGGGUCUUGUACACACCGCCCGUCACACCAUGGGAGUCGGUAACGCCCGAAGUCAGUGACCCAACCGUAAGGAGGGAGCUGCCGAAGGCGGGACUGGUAACUGGGGUG